GUGCUCACUUUGGCAGCACGUAUACUAAAAUUGGAACGAUACAGAGAUUAGCAUGGCCCCUGCACAAAGAUGACACUCAAAUUCAUGAAGCGUUCAUAUUUAAA